rnacentral:Y_RNA from 1 species
GGUUGGUCCGAGUACAGUGAUAUUUAUAACUAAUUGAUCACAACCAGUUACAGAUUCCUUUGUUCCUUGUCCACUCCCACUGGUUUACUUGACCAGAAAA